rnacentral:rRNA from 1 species
UACGUAGGGGGCAAGCGUUGUCCGGAAUCAUUGGGCGUAAAGAGCGUGUAGGCGGCCAGAUAAGUCCGCUGUGAAAUCUCGAGGCUCAACUUCGAGCUGUCGGUGGAAACUGUCUGGCUAGAGUCCGGAAGAGGAGAAUGGAAUUCCUGGUGUAGCGGUGAAAUGCGCAGAUAUCCGGAGGAACACCGGUGGCGAAGGCGGCUUCCUGGACCGAUACUGACGCUGAGGCGCGAAAGCUAGGGGAGCAAACGGG